GGGAUGUUGAAAGAGAAAGCCUGGCACACACACACUGGCUGGAAUCUGCAAGCCUCCCUCAGCCUCGGCUGGAAGGAAAAUCUGCAAAGAUGCAAACAAUCCUUGGGUGUUCAGUUAGCAUUGCCUUGAAGCAGCCUAAUCCAGUAAACCAGUUCAGUGUACAAAAUGGGAAAGCGGAAGGCUGGUACCCAGCUGUAAACAUCAUGAAGGAUGUGGCGGGAGGGCGGCUUUCCCCCUUUAGGAGCUGUACAUACAUUAAUCACUGAAUCACCAAGCCAUGCUUAAUUGCAAGCUGUAUAUCACACAAAUCCACGGAAUGCAGAAAAGGUAUUACACCACUAAUUACAGCCCACACCGGCCCCUCCAUCUCAGCUGCCUGGAAGAGGAAACGGAACUCUCUCAGAUCUGCAAAUCCCCAGCCAGCCCUGGCUUCUGCCUCAUUGCUACUAAGUGACUUUUAUAAGAUGCUUCUCCUCCCCCCCAACCCCCUCACCCCCAUCUUUCCUCCCUUCCCUUCCUGGGAAAAGUGUGUAGAAAUCCAUUACUCCUUGAGAGUUUACAGAACUGUUUAAAUGAUAAAGAAAAAAAAAACCUUGCAGUAUAUUUUGCUUUGACAAAAUUAUUGAUUUAAAUCCCAUACAAUAGCACAAUACUAUUUAAAGGUCAACCCAAGAAAAAUGAGUUUACACCCGAACAGAGCCGAGCUUAUCUGUCAUGAAAGUGUAAUGAUGUGUUUAUUCCCUCACUAGAGUGUAUAUAUUUUUCAGGAAGAUAUAACAGUCUACUUGCAGGUGAAAUCUGCUCUUAAAUGGGAAUUUCAGGAGAUAUUUACAUUUCAGAUGGUGGGGCUGAGAUCCUGUAGCCCUGAGACCCAUUUUUGUACUUAAUAGUCAGGUGAGUAUUUAUUUUCAUCGCCUCCAAAUUAUUCUUCUCACUCUCGGGUCAAAAAUGAGAUACACAGAUGAAUACUAUAACCACAACUCAUACAGAAAUCUCUUAAGAAGCCUAAAGCUAAAACAGAAUGCAAAGGUACCACUGUAUCUGCCUAUCUUGCAUUCUGGAUUUGUUUUGACAUUUCAAAAAUAUGGCACAAAAU